rnacentral:rRNA from 1 species
UACGUAGGGUGCGAGCGUUAAUCGGAAUUACUGGGCGUAAAGCGUGCGCAGGCGGCGCGUUAAGACAGGUGUGAAAGCCCCGAGCUUAACUUGGGAAUUGCGCUUGUGACUGGCGUGCUGGAGUGUGGCAGAGGGAGGUGGAAUUCCACGUGUAGCAGUGAAAUGCGUAGAGAUGUGGAGGAACACCGAUGGCGAAGGCAGCCUCCUGGGCCAGCACUGACGCUCAUGCACGAAAGCGUGGGGUGCAAACAGG